AUUCAUGGUGAUGGCUGAUCAGGGCUCUCUCACUUAAACAGGCCUCUUGCUGUAGGGUUGAUGGCCAGUCCUAGUGUCUGAGUGAUU
ensembl:snoRNA